GUUUCCAUUCCUUAUAGGUAGGAUAAAAAG
rnacentral:other from 17 species